rnacentral:rRNA from 1 species
UGCGGAGGGUGCAAGCGUUAUCCGGAUUCACUGGGUUAAAGGGUGCGUAGGCGGACAGGUAAGUCAGUGGUGAAAUCUCCGAGCUUAACUCGGAAACUGCCUUUGAUACUCUCUGUCUUGAAUAUGGUGGAGGUAAGCGGAAUAUGUCAUGUAGCGGUGAAAUGCUUAGAGAUGACAUAGAACACCUAUUGCGAAGGCAGCUUACUACGCCUAUAUUGACGCUGAGGCACGAAAGCGUGGGGAUCAAACAGG